rnacentral:lncRNA from 1 species
AUGAGGCCGCAGAAAGGGCAGCGAGUGAGGAAGCCAGGAGAAGAUCGGUGCAGUCAGGUGUCCAUCAGACUCUGCAAGUGGAUUUCAGUUGCAGCUAGAACAGGGGUUAGCAACCUGAUGAAGAGAGACAGUACUUGGUUAUUUACACAUGACGACUGUAAGUCUGGUUCUGCCAAGUCCUGCCUGUUGUUGAAGCGUCUCUCCAGCGAGAUUCACUCUGGACACUGAUCCCUGAAGACAGCUGUCAAGUCUGGCUGCGCUGAUGGGACCUGGAUCCACACGUGUCCUGGGGAAUGUUCCGAUCCUGUUGCUCUGCGUUUCUUUUGUUCUGUAUUCAAUAAACUGCUGUUUGCGCUAGCUGUUGAGUGU